GUUAAAUACUCAUGCGGUGAUUGAGCCAUUCAUCAUAGCAACAAACCGACACCUUAGUGCUCUUCACCCAAUUUAUAAGCUUCUAACUCCUCACUACCGUGACACCAUGAACAUCAACGCACUUGCUAGGCAAUCUCUCAUUAAUGCUGAUGGCAUAAUAGAGAAAUCUUUUUUGCCCUCAAAGCAUUCCGUUGAGAUGUCUUCAGCGGUUUAUAAGAAUUGGGUUUUCACUGAUCAAGCACUACCUGCAGAUCUUAUCAAGAGGUAAUUAAUCUCUCUAAACUCUAAACAUAAAACUAUGAAAUAUAGGUACAUAGUUUGUUAUUGAUUUAUAUUUUGUUUGAUUCAGAGGAGUGGCAAUUAAGGAUCCAUCUGCCCCACAUGGACUUCGACUUCUGAUAGAGGACUACCCUUAUGCUGUUGAUGGGCUAGAGAUAUGGGCUGCAAUUAAGACAUGGGUCCAAGAAUAUGUGUCCUUGUACUAUGCAAGAGAUGAUGAUGUCAAACCUGAUUCUGAACUCCAACAGUGGUGGAAAGAAGCUGUAGAGAAAGGUCAUGGUGAUCUGAAAGACAAGCCAUGGUGGCCUAAGUUGCAAACAAUUGAAGAGCUUGUUGAAAUUUGCACCAUUAUCAUAUGGACUGCUUCAGCCCUCCAUGCAGCCGUUAACUUUGGUCAAUAUCCAUAUGGAGGUUUCAUUCUGAAUCGCCCAACUUCUUCUAGAAGGUUGCUUCCUGAGAAAGGCACCCCAGAAUAUGAAGAAAUGGUGAAAAGUCAUCAAAAGGCUUAUUUGAGAACUAUUACAUCAAAGUUUCAAACUCUAGUUGACCUUUCAGUGAUAGAGAUCUUGUCAAGGCAUGCUUCUGAUGAGGUCUACCUUGGCCAAAGGGACAACCCACAUUGGACCUCUGACUCAAAAGCAUUACAAGCCUUUCAAAAAUUUGGAAACAAGCUCAAAGAAAUUGAGGAAAAACUUGCAAGGAAGAACAAUGAUCAAAGUCUCUCCAAUCGACUUGGGCCGGUUCAACUGCCAUACACUUUGCUCCAUCCUAACAGUGAGGAAGGGUUGACUUGCAGGGGGAUUCCUAAUAGCAUCUCUAUCUAAGGGAGCAUGUGGUCUACUUUAAUUACAGUACUGUACCUACCUUCCAAUAAAAAAGAUGCAAGGCUAGAGAUCCAAUAAAUCUUGCAUCCUAUCUAAUGUUUCAAUUAUCUUGUGUUUUAAUGCUGUAAUGGAGCCUACAAUUUGCAAAUUAAUUAAGAGCACCGAGCACUAUUAGUUUGCGUUUAGCUUCUGUCAUGUUUAUUAAGAUAUAUUUCGCAGAUUGUAACACAAAAUUUUGUGGCAAAACAAGCUUUUUUUUUUCUUAUUGAAAAUAAUUGUACUUUGAUAAUAGAAAAUUCAGCAAAUUAGGCCUUAAAAAUAAUUAUUUAGCAGUUAUUUGCGCUUAAUUGUUAAAGAAUUGAUAUUUCGUGAAUUUUGAUUGCAGAUAUAAAAAUUAGAGGUGUUAAAAGCAAAUAGAAGGAAAUAAUUAGAAAGGCUCAACUCAUUCUCUCGCGUAGCGUGUAGCGCGUGCUAAACGAGACGUUAAGCACGAGAGUCAGAAUCCGUUACUCGCGCACAGCGCACAGCACAGACUAAGUGGACAAAACUGACACAGAACACGCUAAGCGAGAGGAGCUCGCUAAGCACAAGAUCUGAAUGCGCUAAGCGAUGGGUAUCGCGCUGAACGAGCCUAUGAAAAUCCAAAACCCACUCCAGCAACUGUAAAUAGAGAGCUCAGUCAAGGAAAACGACACAAUGAGUCUCAGAGUACUCCUAUCACUACCUUAAGCCUGAAAAUUCCUCCUCUCUUCUCUCUAUCAAUUGUAUUCAUUCUUUCUUCCAUCCCUCUCAUUGUAAGUCCCUCAAUGAUCAUGAGUGGCUAAUCCCCUGGUUAGGGUCAGGCAGGCCUAAAAAGUCAAACGAUGUAUGGUGAACUUCAGAUUUAUCAAUGCAAGAGGAUCCCUUUUCAGGUUUUUCUGUUCUAUUUUCUUUUUUAUUUUAUCUUGCAUUCUCAUCUUUAUUUUCUUUUGGGGGUUAGUUACUCGGGAGAGGAUAACUUCUAAUAAGAUCUAAAGAAAAGAUGCAUGCAUUAGUUUUAGGAGUUAGUCUCUCGGGAAAGGAUAAUCUCUAAUAGAACAUUAAAGAGAAGAAAUCAUAAGGUAAUCAUUGCUAGGCAUAGAAUGGUAACUUUAUGCUCAUGCAUUCAACAAACAUCUAAAAUUUAUUAUUCAUGCAUUUUAUUUAUUGAGUCUUUUCAAAAGCAUUUAGGAGAUAGGUAAAUAAAAUAGGUUUGUCAUCGUGAGGCAUCAAGGGUAAGUAACUAGAUAGAUGUGGAUAAAACAUAUCCGAUUAAUUUAAUAAAGAAUAACCAUAAAUUCAUACAUCCAAGGUGGACUAGGCAUGUUAGGUCUUAACAUCUGCAUCUCAUUGAAUUCUUUACGUAUUGUGCUUUUGAUUUUUUUGUUCCUAUUAUCUCUUCUACUCCUCUUUUCAAAUAUUGCCCUUAUAAAUUAAAAGUUAUCCAAUACAAGUGCAACAUUCGACACUCGGACUUCAAGGUUUUGCUACUUAGAUAUUUGGUGCACUUGCCAAAUGCCUAACACUUAUCAGAUUAUAUUAUUAAGAAAAUCAAUUUUAAAUUUGGGAAACCAAAUAUAAAUUUAUCUUAAACUUAAGAGACUAAAAAAUAUCUAAUUUUUUUUUAUAUUAUAAAUUUAACGAAUAAAAAAUAGGUUAAAUUACCUUAUUUCUUAAUUUUACUUUUUUAUGACAAUUUGAUUGAUUUUUUAUUUGUUUAAAGUUAUAAAAUAAUUAUUUAUCUUUUGAAGUGUUAAUCACUUUCGAUUUUGGAAUAUGAUUUUGCAUUUUUUAUAUUGAUUCAAGAACUAAAAUUUAUUUAGAUUCACCUACAUGAAAUUUAUGAAAUAUGUUAAAAAUUAAGUGAAAAUUGAAUCUUAUGAUAGUUUUUUUUUUGGUUGAUUUUGAAAAAAAUUUCAAUUCUUCCGUUGCUCAUAAAACACAAUGUAAUUAUAAUAUAUAAGAUAUAAUAAAGUAGGAGAGUAAGAUAAAAACAUGAUAAGAUAAGUAUAUAAUAAGAUUUAAUUAUAUCCAAAUAUUUGGUAUGCAUAAAUUAUCACGUCCAAUGAUCUGUUAACGACAUUUAUGCUUAACUGAUAAAAGGAUCCAAUUAAAUUAUUUUAAAUAAUUAAAGAACCACUUAAUAAUUAAAGGAACUAAUUAAAUAUUAAAAAUAAAUUUAAAAACCUAAACAGUAAUUUAAUCUAUUUUAUAUAAUAGGUUGGAUAAUAUAAUAAUUAUUAUUAUAUAUAAUAAUUAUAAUAUUGAAUAUAUUACAUAACAUAUAUGGAGAAAGAAAUAGAGGUUAUCUUACUCCAUUAAUUCUGGUCCCUCUCUGAAUAAGAUAAGAGACAUAAUAAUAUUAUCAUCUUAUAUAAUAUAUUUCAAUAUGAUAAUACAGUUAUUUUAUCUUAUUUUUUUAUAUUUUUGUCAUCAAAGGUAUCCUUAUGAUUAUUCAAAUAUCAGUUGGAUCUUAUAAUUUCAUGUAAGUAAAUUUAAAGAGACCGAAUCAAUAAAAAAAUUAAAAUUAUGUUGCAAAAUUGAAAACGAACAAUAUUUUAAAAAUCAUUUUAUAAAUUUUAAUAAAUACGACACCAAAUUACAAUCUAAAAUAAAAUUAAGAUAUUAUAAAGGAGUAAUAUUAUCCUAAAAAUAACAUAAAUCUUAUUAAUUAUAUUCUCAUCAGAGUCAUAAAGAUGAUUUGGGAAGAGGCAUAAGCAUAAGCGUUGGAGUGAUGAUAAGAAGGUUAUAGGUUCUAAUUCUUGUACUAAUAUAACAUACUAGUAGUAAUUAUUAACGUUUACUUAUAAAAAAAAAUUAAAUUCCCUUCGUAUGCAUGGUAAGUAUCAUUAUUUGCAUGGGGCCUUAAUGACACUUGCACUUGACGUCAAAAUGUCAAAUCUACCAUCAAAUACACAUUCAUUAUUCACCGUGUAAUGUGUACAGAUGUCUUUUGUUCCUUCUGCAUGGAAAAAGUGUGACACCUUGCAUUUUCAGUACUCGUGCUCAUCGUUACCAGCAAUAUAGUAUUUUUUUUUUUUAGUGAACCAGCAAUAUAUAUAGUAUAUCUUAUAGAAUAUUACAUAUACUUUAAUACUUAGGUGAAAAAAUUCUUAACUUAUAUAUAUCAUUUAAUUACAUCAUUAAAAUGUUAAUAAAAUAUAGUCAGUAAGUAAUUAAUCGUCAACACAAUUAAGUUGAGAAUAGCUAUCAUUAUAAAUACCCAUGAUAGCUUUGGUUGAUUUUCUCACAGGUCACAGGCUUUUUCUUUUUCUUCUUCUUCUUCUUCUUUAUUUUCUCAUUUUGCCAAACUAAAAUAGUUGUGUUGGUAGCUUUGGCAAAGAUGUUUUCAGCAGGCCAUAAGAUCAAAGGGACAGUGGUGUUGAUGCCCAAGAAUGAGUUGGAAGUUAACCCUGAUGGCUCAGCAGUUGACAACCUUAAUGCUUUCUUGGGCCGUAGUGUCUCCCUUCAGCUCAUUAGUGCUACCAAGGCUGAUGGUUAAUUAAUUUCUUCAUCGUUUCACUUUUUUCCAUCAUCAUCAUCCACAAUCAUCACUUUCUAUAUUAAAAAUUAACUUUAAUUUCUAUAUACGAAAAGUAAGUGUAAAGAGUUUAAAUAAUUUUUGUAAAAUAGUAAUUUCUGAUUCAACGAUAGUAUACACAUUUUUUACAUUUUUAAUUCAUAGAGGGUUUUGUUUUCUAUUAGAAAUAUAUCACGUAGUAAUACAUAACCAAAGAUAUUUAUAUAGUUUAAACUUACUCGGUACGUACGUAACAUAGUAUUAUUAUUAUGUGUGUAUGAUCUGUUUGUAGCACAUGGAAAAGGAAAAGUUGGAAAGGAUACGUUCUUGGAAGGGAUUAAUACUUCGUUACCAACUUUGGGAGCAGGAGAGUCUGCAUUCAAUAUUCAUUUUGAAUGGGACGGAAGCAUGGGAAUCCCCGGUGCGUUUUACAUAAAGAACUACAUGCAAGUUGAGUUCUUCCUCAAGAGUUUGACUCUUGAAGCCAUUUCAAACCAAGGAACCAUCCGCUUUGUUUGCAACUCAUGGGUUUAUAACACUAAACUUUACAAAAGCGUGCGCAUUUUCUUUGCCAACCAUGUAAGCUCUUUAGCAAUUAGUAGUUUAAUUACAAAAGUGUGUGUGUGUGUGAAAUGUCUAAUGGCAAGUUCUUCAAGUUUAAGCUAAGAAUUAAAAAAUUCAAUUUAAUGUAAUGUAGACAUAUGUACCUAGUGAGACACCAGCACCACUUGUGGAGUACAGAGAAGAAGAAUUGAAGAGUUUAAGAGGAAAUGGAACGGGAGAGCGCAAGGAAUAUGAUAGGAUCUAUGAUUAUGAUGUCUACAAUGAUUUGGGCAACCCAGAUAAGAGUGAAAAGUUAGCUCGUCCAGUUCUUGGAGGGUCUAGCACCUUUCCCUACCCUCGUAGGGGAAGAACUGGUCGAGGUCCAACAGUUACAGGUUAGUCUUCUAUGGUUCUAUAUAAUUUAAAUGAAUUGUAACAUUGACUUUUUAUAAUGUUAUGGUCAGCGUAGUACAACAUAUUGCUUGGGUAUAUGUGACACGUUAUAAAUUAAUUUUGCACUAUGAUUCUGAUUAUUUUUAUUUUUUUUGGAUGAUUAAGUUUUUACACAUUGUUGUUUCCUAAUCAAUUUCAAUUCAACAGACCCGAAUACUGAGAAACAAGGCGAAGUAUUUUAUGUUCCAAGAGAUGAAAAUUUAGGUCACUUGAAGUCUAAGGAUGCUCUUGAGAUUGGAACAAAAUCUUUAUCUCAAAUUGUCCAGCCGGCGUUCGAAUCUGCGUUCGAUUUGAAAUCCACGCCAAUUGAGUUUCAUAGCUUCCAAGAUGUGCAUGACUUGUAUGAAGGUGGAAUUAAGCUUCCUAGAGAUGUAAUUAGCACAAUUAUCCCCUUACCAGUGAUCAAAGAACUCUAUCGUACCGAUGGUCAACACAUCCUCAAGUUUCCACAACCUCACGUCGUUCAAGGUGUGAUAAAUAAAUAUAAUAAACCACUCAUACUUGAAAUCUUGAAUUAAUCAAUGACAUAAUAAAUAUAAUAAACCACUGAUACUUGAAAUCUUGAAUUAAUUAAUGACAUUUUGGUCAUACAAAUCGUAUCGUAUUCACGAACAAAUUCAAAACUCAUUAUGUUUUUUAUGAAAUGGUUAUUCCAUUUAAUAAGGAUUUUCUUUUUAUUAUUAAUUUGGGUAGUGAGUCAGUCUGCAUGGAUGACUGAUGAAGAAUUUGCUAGAGAGAUGAUUGCUGGUGUAAAUCCCUGCGUAAUUCGUGGUCUUGAAGUAAGUUCAAAUAUUUAUUUAUAAAAUCAAAUUUGAUGUCCACGUAAAAUUAGGUAGUAUAUCGCCAGUAAUAAACUAAAAUACUAAAUGGUUGUUCUUCUUUAAUUAAAUGGAUUGUAGGAGUUCCCUCCAAAAAGUAAUCUGGAUCCUGCAAUCUAUGGUGAUCAAAGCAGUAAGAUAACAGCAGAUUCCCUUGAUCUAGAUGGGUACACAAUGGACGAGGUAAACAUGCGAAGCGAAGGAAUUGAUACAAUAAUUUUCCUCUUAAAGUAAUUAAUUAAAACUAAUUGAAUUUUGUGGUACAGGCACUUGGUAGUCGAAGGUUAUUUAUGUUAGAUUACCAUGAUAUCUUCAUGCCAUAUGUGAGGCAGAUAAAUCAGCUGAAUUCUGCCAAGACUUAUGCGACAAGGACUAUCCUUUUUUUGAGAGAAGAUGGAACUUUAAAGCCAGUGGCCAUCGAAUUAAGUUUGCCACAUUCUGCUGGGGAUCUGUCAGCUGCCGUCAGUCAAGUCGUCUUACCUGCUAAGGAAGGUGUUGAGAGCACAAUUUGGCUACUAGCCAAAGCUUAUGUCAUCGUAAAUGACUCUUGCUACCAUCAACUCAUGAGCCAUUGGUAUAAAUUUUCAUUUUCAUUUUCAUUGCUAUAUAUCAACAUAUAUAGAUAAAUUCAAUCUCUAAUCCCUCUCUCUCAAGUGUAUAUUAAUUACUUUUGAUUUCUUCAUAGGUUAAAUACUCAUGCGGCGAUGGAGCCAUUCGUCAUAGCAACACACCGACAUCUUAGCGUGCUUCACCCAAUUUACAAGCUUCUGACUCCUCACUAUCGUAACAACAUGAACAUCAACGCACUUGCCAGGCAAUCUCUAAUUAAUGCUAAUGGCAUAAUAGAGACAACCUUUUUGCCCUCAAAGUAUUCUGUGGAGAUGUCUUCGGCGGUUUAUAAGAAUUGGGUUUUCACUGAUCAAGCACUACCUGCAGAUCUUAUCAAGAGGUAAUUAAUUAAGUAAAUCUCUCUAUAUCACUAGAAAAAAAAUGUGACAUAAAGGUUUGAAAUAUAUAGGUAUACAUUUUGUUACAAAGCAUAAUGAUGGAUGCAUGUAUAUAUUAUAUUUUGUUUGACUUAGAGG
rnacentral:lncRNA from 1 species